GUGGGGAAUAUUGGACAAUGGGCGAAAGCCUGAUCCAGCCAUGCCGCGUGUGUGAAGAAGGUCUUCGGAUUGUAAAGCACUUUAAGUUGGGAGGAAGGGUAGUAACCUAAUACGUUGCUACUUUGACGUUACCGACAGAAUAAGCACCGGCCAACUUCGUGCCAGCAGCCGCGGUAAUACGAAGGGUGCAAGCGUUAAUCGGAAUUACUGGGCGUAAAGCGCGCGUAGGUGGUUCAGUAAGUUGGAAGUGAAAUCCCCGGGCUCAACCUGGGAACUGCUUUCAAAACUGCUGAGCUAGAGUACGGUAGAGGGUGGUGGAAUUUCCUGUGUAGCGGUGAAAUGCGUAGAUAUAGGAAGGAACACCAGUGGCGAAGGCGACCACCUGGACUGAUACUGACACUGAGGUGCGAAAGCGUGGGGAGCAAACAGGAUUAGAAACCCGAGUAGUCC
rnacentral:rRNA from 1 species